UUUAUCAAGAGCGGCGGAGGGAUAGGCCCUGCGAUGCCCAGCAACCAGUAAGUUUAUGAAUACUUGCUACGGUGCUAAUUCCUACAGAUUCUAAGCGAGUCUGAAAGAUAAGG
rnacentral:ncRNA from 1 species